ensembl:lncRNA uncharacterized LOC115014618
UUUUCUUUCAAGGACGAGUAACACACAAACUCCACAGUAAUACUUAGGGAAAUCACUUUGCAAACAUGUUGUUGUUAUACGUGACUGUUUCCUGCGUAUUGUUUGGUGGUUCAUCUGCUGAUGUGAUUGAAGAGGUGUGCUAUGGCAUGCAUUUGAGAUUACCUAUUUUUGUAACACCACCUUUAUUCAGUGGACAGAUGUACUUCACUCCGAGUAAUGGGGAACCCAGGAAGCUAGUGAUGGAUAAUGGGAAGGCAAAGGACCCGCGCCUCAAAGUUUACGAUGGCAGUAGUUCAUUACACAGAUUUGACAGAAAGAGAUGCAGGAACCUUUUCUGUCUCAAAUGACAAUAGUAGACGACGCAAUAUUGUGAAACUGAACAUUUUGGAGUGUGCUGAGAAGAAUGCAAAGUAUUACGGGGAUAAAUACUCCACUCGUAUAAAUCAGGCUGAAUACCUGGAGUUCACUCCCCUUCACAGUGUGGACCUGCCAAAGGUUGUGUGGAAUCUUACUGACCCUCAGACCAAUGAGAAAGGCAGAUGGCAGGUGAAGUUUCAUAUCUGGGAGCUGAAGAACCUCAAUCAGGCAGACGCGGGCUACUACAACUUCAGAGCAAAAGACAAGACUUUGCUGAAGAGGAUAUUGCUCGAAGUAAAAGUGCACCAUAUAAACUAUGAUGCAAUGGAGAACACGUGGCUCCUCAUCGAUAAUCCUUCAUCUGAUAUCCUGUGGACUGUGACUUUUACACCUGACGGGAAAGUACAAAAGAAAACAUUGAUAGAAAAAGGCCAUCUGAUCACACAAGAUGAAUGGAUCUCAGAGCCUUGGACUUUACCAGAGAGGAUUCAGGUCUUGAGGAAUGGCAUAACGAUUCAUUCUUUGGAGGUCACAGACUCUGGCACCUUUGAGUUCAUAGACCUGCAAGGUCAUCUUACUAAGACUGCGAUGUUGCUGGUAAAGCAUGAACCAGACAGUACUAUUGCAAUUGUUGGGAUUGCUGUCGGGAUUUUCUUUGGGGUAAUAAUCUGCUGCUGCUGUGUGAAAAGGUGCUGUUGUAAAAAGAGCUCUUCUAAAAGGGAGGAUUCUGCUCCUCAGACUGCAACCACACCUGCUGUGUAUUACCAUGAUGUGAAUCAACCUGCAGGUCCACAUUUCACUGCUGCACCUGCUCCAAAUUACUCCUAUCAGCCAAUGAAUUCCCUUGUUUCUAGAGAAGCUACAACUAUCUCACCUGAUCCACCGGUGUACAACCCGGUGAAUAUCCAUGUGAACCCCCUUCAACUUCAGGUUGAACCGUUAGGAGGGUUAGGAAUUGAUCCAGCUCCUACACUCGGCUCUGAUUGUCUCUCCUCAGACCGUAUGCCAACGUUUGAGUUUGAGACUUCCACUCUCCCCCUCAGUGCAGAAACAACAUUCAGUCAUGUGUAUACCUCUGAUAAACUCAACUUUCUGUAAGGAGCGCACCAAAAACUUAAGGGAUAAGUAGUUUGAUUCGGCAUUGUGCUUUAUGACUAGUGGGAACACAGCCAUUUCAGUCCUUGAUUGGAUUGUGUGAUAUACGCACAUAAGAAAAUUGAGUCCCUGCAAACCUGCAAAAUAGUUGUGACAGGUGCACAGGAUAAGGACCAUGUUGAGAAACAAGACUUCAUUCACACUAUGUUGACCUAUGACUUAUCGUAGGUUAAAAUAUGGCAUAUUCUCUUUCUUUCAAUUUAAACACCAACAAAUAUGCGCUGUGAUCAAAGAAGUUUGAGGCCAGUACAACAGUAACAGUAAGUGAACUGCCAUAAUCAGGAUAUCUGUGUUAUAUGGAAUAUAAAUGUGUGUGCCAUAAACUCAGGUUAUAUAUAAAAUGCAUAAUGUACACUUUGCCUUUACCCUACUGCCAUACAUAUCAAAGGGUAUGGAGAGAUGACUUUCCAUUGAGGACUUAACGUAACUGACUACCACUCAUGGAGAUGAAAACUCUACUCUAUUCAUACAACUGCUGAACAGCGGGUUCAGAAAGUAUUCAGACCCCUUUCAUUUUUACACAUUUUGGUAUGUUACAGCAUUAUGCUAAAAUUGUUUUAAUAAAUGUUUUCCCUCAUCAAUCUACACUCUAUACCCCAUAAUGACAAAGCGAGAAAUCUUUGCAAAUGUAUUAAGAAUUGACAAAAGUAUUCAGACCCUUUACUCAGUACUUAGUUGAAGCACCUUUUGCAGCAAUAACAGCCUCAAGUCUUCUUGGGUACGAUGCAACAAGCUUUGCACAUCUGGAUUUGGGGAUUUUCUUCCAUUCUUCUCUGCAGAUCCUCUCAAGCUCUGUCAGGUUGGAUGGGGACCGCUGAUGGACGGCCAUUUUCAGGUCUCUCCAGAGAUGUUCAAUUGGGUUCAAGUCCGGGCUCCGGCUGGGCCACUCAAGGACAUUCACAGAGUUCUCCCUAAGCCACUCCUGCGUUGUUUUGGCUGUGUGCUUAGGAUCGUUGUCCUGUUGGAAGGUGAAGGUGGUUUGGUUUUUGCUCAAAAAUACAUUGUGAAUUGUUGGACCUUAUAUAGACAAGUGUGCGUCUUUCCAAAUCAUGUCCAAUCAAUUUCAUUUACCACAGGUGGGCUGUAGGAACAUCUCAGCUAUGAUCAUUUGAAAUGUGAUGCUCCAGAGCUUAAUUUCAAGUGUCACUGCAAAGGGUCAAUGUGACAUUUCAGUUUCUUAUUUUUAAUACAUUUGCAAAAAUUUCUAAAAUUCUGUUAUCACUUUGUCAUUAUGGGGUAUCGAAUCUAGAUUGAUUAGGGAAAAAAAGAAAUGAAACAAUUUUAGCAUAACGCUGUAACAUACCAAAAUGUGAAAAGAUUGAAGGGGUCUGAAUACUUUCUGAACCCGCUGUAUAUACUGUAUAAAAAAAUAAAUAUAUAUAAAUAUAUAUAUAUAUAUAUAUAUAUAUACAUGCACCGACAGCACUCGCACGGAGCUCUCACAGCAAAUAUUGAUAUAUAUGCGAUAUAUAUAAUUUAUAUCAUAAUAUACAGUAUAAUAUAUGAUGUGUAUAUAUAUAUAUAUCAUAUAUAUCAUAUUUUAUAUAUAUACUGUAUGAUAAAUAUAUACUGUAUGAUAUAUAUAUAUAUAAUAUAUAUCAUAUUUUAUGUGUAUCAUAUUUUAUAUAUAUACUGUAUGAUAUAUAUAUAUAUAUAAUAUAUAUGAUAUAUAUAUAUUAUAUAUAUAUAUAUGAUAUAUAUUAUAUAUAUAUAUAUCAUAUAUAUAUAUUUAUUAUAUUACGUGUCUUUUAUCAUUACAUUUUGAGAAAUGAUGUGAUAUCUUUUUUUGUAAAAAUGUAAGUCCUACUGGAAACUGUUGCGCUGUAUCUCAGUGUGUAUUUGUACAUUUUGUGUAAGCUGGAGCUUUUUUCCAUUAGCUCUUUUUGUGGCUUUGAGAAACUGCCCCAAUCAUUAGGCCUUAAAAUCAAUCUAAAGUAGUCAUUUGAUUCAAAUAUUUGUCUGCAUUAUAUGUAAAGAUAUGUAACUAUACUUUGACUUGCAUGGUUUUUGAAAGCUAAAUAAAUUGCCUCACUGGACUGUACUAAAUCCCAGAGGAAAGCUACAAUUACCUGCAUUUACCAAGUAAUGUAAAGUGUUAUCAAAUUUAAUCUGAACUACAACAUUUCCUAAUUAUGACAAUAGAAACAUAUAAGUAAAAGUAUUGACACCACAAUACAGUAAUGAGCAGUACAGUAAAAACAUUUAAAGGAAAAAAUGUAAAUAAUACAAACUCAAAAUUUUAUAUUUUGGAAGUUUCCACAGUAAAAAUGUACAUAUCAAAAAUAAUUGUAAGAAUGAGAACCUUUCAAAGUGUUACAUUAUUUUUGCAUACAUAAGAUCACAGAUGCAACUUAUUCAUGGUUGAAACAUGAAUUGCCUUGUUGCUGGUUCACAAUCAACGUAUUUUCUAAGAUAUAGGGUCCCAUGUGUUUACUUCUUAAGUUAGAACAAGUUUUGUAGUUUUCCACAAAAGAUUUCUGUGUUUUUGCUUUUGUUGUGGUCUCGUGCCUUUUUGUUUUGAUAUUUAAGUGGCACUGUUGUGAAUACAUCAAGUCACUCUUUUUUUUGCAUAUGUUAUAAGGAAGUUCCCACUGUUAUUGUGAAUGUUAUCAAACCACACUCAGGGACUCUUGAUGUAGCAGACUAGCUGAGUUUCUUGGUGUUAAACUAUUAAAGAAGUACUCCAGCAAUUAAUUGUCGCACUUUCAUACAAUUGGGGAAUAUUCGAGACAUAGAUAAAAAAAACUGUCAAAACUAAAAUAUCAUGAAUUUUAAUCCCUAAUAUGUGUCAAGCUUCAAAAAUACUGGAGCCUACAUUUUUCCUUUAUUAAAAAAAGAUCUUCCCAGCCUGGUUAAUAUUUCAAACUCUAUGACCUC